AUGCAAUUUUUAUUAUAUUUGGAGUGUUGUGUACCUCUGUUGAACUUUCUUAAUAAAUCUGGGUCCUUCUCAAAAAAAAAGUAUAACAAUAAGUCACCCCCUCGUCUUAGUUAUUUCCCCGUAGACCCAAUCCAGCACCAGCACUAUUCCUCGCCGCCGCUGCAGCCGCGCGCUCAGAUGCAAAUCCCCCGCGCUGUUCUACGUCUCGUCCGACGCCCUGACGUCGCCACCCCGAUGCACCGCCUCUCAUCUCCCUCGGGACAUCUCUCUUCCAUGGCGUCUCGCCGUCGCCGGUGGCCACCGACGCUUGCGCGACGACUCGUGGCGGCUCCCAGUCCACCUGUCCGGCGUGCUUCCUCGGAGGCUACUUGGGGCCAAGAUGUGAACCCCAAUGGCUGCGAGGACGAUCCAAGGAGCGCAACCAAGGGUCGCACGACUGAGAUCGUGAUCAAGGAGGACGAAGAAGUCAGCGACUACGAGUACCCCAUCGACCGCGUGCUUGGAAAGAGCAGGCACCGUGAUGGCUCUAUGUACAGGGCUAUGGGUGAUGUUUACUGGAAAAAAGAGUAUCGUGUCGCAGACCGCAGCGAGAUUUGCUUGGUGUGUGGACAGGGCCAAAGGACAAGAUGCUUCAAUCCGGCGAGGACAGAGCCAAAUGACCAAAGUUUGUUCAUCUGUUGCCAAGGUGACCCCUCUCCUCCUCCUCUCUAUUUUUUGUUCAUUUUCUCAUAUGAUCUGAUGCAUGCUCUCUUGCUUGGUGUGUGUGCAGUUUGGUACCAUCCCGUGGGGAGGGCCAGGGACAAGCUGCUCCGAUCCGGCGAGGAUUCCCACCAUCUAUUGUUAAGGGCGUCCGUGGAAGGCCCAGUCCUGACUCUCCAGUGA
rnacentral:rRNA from 1 species